rnacentral:lncRNA from 1 species
GGGGGUGGACAGAGACAGGUGUGUUGCAGACCCUCCAGCAUUUCUGCUUCCAGGUAAAACCUGCACGUGUGAGGAAUGUGUGGCAUUGUAAUGUCAGUCCUCCCUUCAGUUGCUGUCACUUGAAAGAAAAUGUGUUUGUUUAACAAACAUAAAUUGAGUGCCUACUGUGUACCCACACUUCUAGAUCCUGCUGUUGCUGCAGCCACAGCUGUGAUUAGGGCAAGUCUCAGCUCCCCUGGAGUGAGUGCUCCUGUGGGCCAUCAGGUGACAUGGGGACAGAUGCCACAGGGGAGUGUAGAGGAGGGGCCAGGGAGCGCUGUGGGAGCGAGGCUCUCUGAGAAGGCGAUGCGUGAGCCAAGGCCCAGGGUUGGGGUGGGGUGGCACCUGGGUGAGUGGAUCAGGUAGGGAGGCAGCUGGGCUGGCAUGGGAAUGAGGCAGGAGGCCCAGCCAUGGGGAACUGGAGGUCCUGCCUUUUUGAGACGGAAGCCACUGAACAGGUGAGGACUGAAGUUUAGAGUUUGGAUGGUUUACUGCCUUUGAUUGGCACACAGCCGCCAGUGUGUGUGCGUUGUGUGUGUGCAAUGGUGAGGCCACUGUGCACCCGGUGGCUGGCUUCUCAUGAGUUUAACACACACUCACCACACCAGUCAGCCCUCACGUCUUUACCCUGGAUCCUUUUCGAGAAAGGAUCUGGAAAGUAAACAUUUUAGACUUUGAGGGCCACAGUCACUGUCCAUGUUCCUCUCUGUGGUUGUCCUGCCAGACACACACCAUGAGUUUACAAAGACAGGCGGUGGAUGGAUGUGGCCUGGGGCCUGUUUGCCAAUGCCAGCCCCAGAAAAUAAAACUUAUGUUUGCAUAAAUACCUAUACACAGAUAUUUCUACCCAGGCAUAAUCACCAAGUGCUGGAAGCAACACAAGCGUCCUUCAAUGGUGAACGGAUGGCAGGGCCCCCAGAAGACCACAGGAAAGUCGUGUAGAGAAGACGUUCAGAUGGGGCGUCAGAUGUGGGGGAGAACGAGCUGGAGAUGGACACGGACAUGGAGGUGUGGAUGGCCCUGGGGAGGCCCCCUGGCAGCUGGUGGAUGGCAGGAGCGGCGUGGACAGCAGGAGCAGCAUGAACUGCAGGAGCGGCACGGGAUAAGAGAGGUCCCUUUAAGACAUGGCAGUGAAACGAUGAAACAGGCAAAAGCUGGUUGGAGAGGAGUCAUCAGAGAAGGAGCUUUAAGUGAAUUUCUUGACGAUGGUGCGCGGAUGGAUGGAGGAAGCCUCCUUGCUGAUAUAGAGUUGUGAUCCGGGGUGGAUGGGGGUGCAUAUGUGUUGGGGGAGGGCCGUGGGGAUGGAGGGAGCUGCUCCUGGUGUGGGUGGUGGCCGUGAUUCUGUGGGUUAAUGGAAGGUACUGGGGAUGGUCAACUCUGGUCACGCUUACCCUGCAAUCUGACGGCGCCAGUGCCCACUGACUGGCCCAAAUCACUCUUCUUCAAAGAUUCUGAAAGGGCUGUACAUCUAGAGUAGAUCCAGGGCUUUUGCAGUGUUGGUGACUUAGAAUAAAGAUCUUCAAAUUACGACAUUUUGGGCCUCUGGCUCACUCCCCCAAAGCAAAAUUUGUCCAAUGACAAUCUACAAAACUCAAGUAAGCCUCAUUCUUAAAUGUGACUGGAAAUAUUUAAGAUAAUCUAAAAUAAUCAAAGAGAAUAAAAAUAGCCUAUGAAGAAGCAAUUUAGAAACAAAAUCCUCCCAAUAAUUAGAAUUCUCAGAGAGAUUUAAGGAUAUAAUGCAGCCAUAAAACAUGAACAUGUACUUUAAGAAAACAGCAAUUGUGCCUCAUAAAAGCUCUUGGAAACCUGGAA